rnacentral:misc_RNA from 1 species
GAAAUGCGAUAAGUAGUGUGAAUUGCAGAAUUUAGCGAAUCAUCGAAUCUUUGAACGCACAUUGCGCCCCUUGGUAUUCCAUGGGGCAUGCCUGUUCGAGCGUCAUUUCAACCCUCAAGCACUGCUUGGUGUUGGGCGUUUGUCCCGCCUACGCGCGUGGACUCGCCUCAAAGUCAUUGGCGGCUGUUCCCCUACGGCUCGUAAGCGCAGCACAGUCGGCGCCUGGAGCUCUGGUGGGAUGGCGUCCAGCAAGCUAUAUUUUCAGGCUUGACCUCGGAUCAGGUAGGGAUACCCGCUGAACUUAAGC